AGGUUUAAACUCUUGUAAUUUGAUAUUAUUUGGGAAUAUGUUGAUUUUAAUUUGUAUAUAAAUGGGAACCAAUGGGGUUCAUUAUGCUGUUUUUCGGUUUAAUUGAUAAGCUCGUAGUGUCUCAUUGGUAUGUACUUCUUUUAUGAGUUUUGACAUCUACCUGCUCAUGAAAUUGAUUUGGGGUCUGGUACUCAAGGUUGUUCUGUGA